rnacentral:rRNA from 1 species
UACGGAGGAUCCGAGCGUUAUCCGGAUUUAUUGGGUUUAAAGGGAGCGUAGGUGGAUUGUUAAGUCAGUUGUGAAAGUUUGCGGCUCAACCGUAAAAUUGCAGUUGAAACUGGCAGUCUUGAGUGGGCGAGAAGUAUGCGGAAUGCGUGGUGUAGCGGUGAAAUGCAUAGAUAUCACGCAGAACGCCGAUUGCGAAGGCAGCAUACCGGCGCCCAACUGACGCUGAGGCACGAAAGCGUGGGGAUCGAACAGG